UCUUAUGAAUGAGAAAAGAAAGUGGUUCCUUGAGAUGGAAUCUACUCCUAGUGGAGAUACUGUGAA
rnacentral:pre_miRNA from 3 species